UUGACCUCAAAUCAGGUAGGACUACCCGCUGAACUUAAGCAUAUCAAUAAGCGGAGGAAAAGAAACUAACAAGGAUUCCCCUAGUAACUGCGAGUGAAGCGGGAAAAGCUCAAAUUUAAAAUCUGGCGGUCUUUGGCUGUCCGAGUUGUAAUCUAGAGAAGUGCUAUCCGCGCUGGACGGAAAAAUCUCUCGAGACCG
rnacentral:rRNA from 1 species